rnacentral:rRNA from 1 species
GACGAACGCUGGCGGCGUGCUUAACACAUGCAAGUCGAACGGAAAGGCCCUGCUUGCAGGGUACUCGAGUGGCGAACGGGUGAGUAACACGUGGGUGAUCUGCCCUGCACUUCGGGAUAAGCCUGGGAAACUGGGUCUAAUACCGGAUAGGAGCCAUUUUUAGUGUGAUGGUUGGAAAGUUUUUUCGGUGUAGGAUGAGCUCGCGGCCUAUCAGCUUGUUGGUGGGGUAAUGGCCUACCAAGGCGGCGACGGGUAGCCGGCCUGGGAGGGUGGACGGCCACAUUGGGACUGAGAUACGGCCCAGACUCCUACGGGAGGCAGCAGUGGGGAAUAUUGCACAAUGGGCGCAAGCCUGAUGCAGCGACGCCGCGGGGGGGAUGACGGCCUUCGGGUUGUAAACUCCUUUCGCUAGGGACGAAGCUUUUUGUGACGGUACCUAGAUAAGAAGCACCGGCUAACUACGUG